GUUCUCAGUUCGGAUUGUAGGCUGCAACUCGCCUACAUGAAGUCGGAAUCGCUAGUAAUCGCGGAUCAGCAUGCCGCGGUGAAUACGUUCCCGGGCCCUGUACACACCGCCCGUCACACCAUGAGAGUUUGUAACACCCAAAGCCGGUGGGGUAACCUUUUGGAGCCAGCCGUCUAAGGUGGGACAGAUGAUUGGGGUGAAGUCGUAACAAGGUAAC
rnacentral:rRNA from 1 species